rnacentral:rRNA from 1 species
CAAUAGCGUAUAUUUAAGUUGCUGCAGUUAAAAAGCUCGUAGUUGGAUUUCGGGUGGGAAUGGCCGGUCCGCCGUUUCGGUGUGCACUUGCUACGCCCACCUUGCUGCCGGGGACGUGCUCUUGAGUUCACGCUCGGGACACGGAGUCGGCGAGGUUACUUUGAGUAAAUUAGAGUGUUCAAAGCAGGCCUACGCUCUGAAUACAUUAGCAUGGAAUAACACGAUAGGACUCUGGCCUAUCUUGUUGGUCUGUAGGACCGGAGUAAUGAUUAAGAGGGACAGUCGGGGGCAUUCGUAUUUCAUUGUCAGAGGUGAAAUUCUUGGAUUUAUGAAAGACGAACUACUGCGAAAGCAUUUGCCAAGGAUGUUUACAUUAA